UAAGGUCAACAGUGCCAUGCUGAUUGCUACUUCGUGAAGAUCAGCCGUGACUUCAAAUAGUAGAAUGUUCAACUAGCGAUGGCUUAGGCAAUAGAGACAGUUACUUCACAUACCCUCAAGAGGCCCCACUCUCUGUUUUUCUGCUCUAGCAUCCUCAGCUUUUCCUCAGUUGGCUUUUCUUUCUCAUUCCGGUCACCUGAAAGCCACACCAUGGCUUCCACGACUCUGAGCAUCACACAGUAAGGAGUAAGGAAGGAAGGAGGGGAGGAUGCCAUAGUGACAAAAGAUACCUGUGUGCACCUUUCUCCUUUUUAAUCAGGAAUGGAAAACGUUUCCCAAAAUCUCCUCAGGAAACCUCCUUCUAGGUCUGUCAUAACUUUCUCCCAUGCAAGAGUGUCUGAAACAGAGUCAGACGCAAAAGAGGAACGGCGGCUGGCACACAGUCCAUGCUCCACCAACACUGUCAACUGAAGGGAUGAGCAUCAGAGUUGGACAUGAGUGGAAGUGAAUAUUAACUGAAAUCCAGUAAGUUCAUAAAUAGAGGGGUCAUAGAGGCAGCGACAGACCACAGUGUUCCUAGGAUGAAAAAGAUGAGGAGCUGAAGAGAUGGUGCUUAUAUAUCGGAUAAAACCAAGAGCUGACAAGUGGAAGGCUGAGGUCAGCUGCUACAAUGAAAAGUCACGCUAUCUCACCUACAGCCCAUUUCUGAGUCAAGUCUCAUCCCAGAGCCCAUUGACUGAAGGAGAGACCAUGUUCUCUAGAGGAGAGAGUCUGGAACCAAAUCAAGUACCUGUUCUCCAGAAUUGGACCAGAUCCGUCUGCCUCCAGGUAAAGAGCUCUGGAGCCAGAGGACCUCCAGGAUUGGUGAAACAGCUCUGCAGCACCAUCGAGGCCCAGGGUCAUCUGCCGUCCACAGCAAGCCUGGGCAUGUUGAUUUCUUCCCUCCGUUUGUCCUCUUCAUGCUCACAAAACCACUGCCAUGUCUCUAGGGCCUCACAUCCUUGCAAGUUUUGCCUCAAGUACCUUUUCUCUUUGGACAACUCUGUUGCCUGAAAUAUAUAAAAAUCAAGUCUGGUUGGCAAGGAAAAUGGGGUGAAUGAUUGCUGGAUAGGCAUCCAGUUCUCCCUGCUUUAACCAAUGUGCCUAGAUUAUGUCCUUAUCUCCAAGUAGUUUUUGUUGCCUAGAGGUCUGGAGCAUCUAAUCUUUGUGGAAAGGGGACAAGGACAGUGAAAAUGAGAAUGUUUUUCAUGUAGUUAAGGUGAUUAAGGCCAUAGAGAUAUAUUUGAAACAAAAUCAUAAUUUUUCUUCCAAAGUGGUACCGAAU
rnacentral:lncRNA from 1 species